AGAGUUUGAUCCUGGCUCAGGAUGAACGCUGGCGGCGUGCCUAACACAUGCAAGUCGAGCGAUUCUCUUCGGAGAAGAGCGGCGGACGGGUGAGUAACGCGUGGGUAACCUGCCCUGUACACACGGAUAACAUACCGAAAGGUAUGCUAAUACGAGAUAAUAUGCUUUUAUCGCAUGGUAGAAGUAUCAAAGCUCCGGCGGUACAGGAUGGACCCGCGUCUGAUUAGCUAGUUGGUAAGGUAACGGCUUACCAAGGCGACGAUCAGUAGCCGACCUGAGAGGGUGAUCGGCCACAUUGGAACUGAGACACGGUCCAAACUCCUACGGGAGGCAGCAGUGGGGAAUAUUGCACAAUGGGCGAAAGCCUGAUGCAGCAACGCCGCGUGAGCGAUGAAGGCCUUCGGGUCGUAAAGCUCUGUCCUCAAGGAAGAUAAUGACGGUACUUGAGGAGGAAGCCCCGGCUAACUACGUGCCAGCAGCCGCGGUAAUACGUAGGGGGCUAGCGUUAUCCGGAAUUACUGGGCGUAAAGGGUGCGUAGGUGGUUUCUUAAGUCAGAGGUGAAAGGCUACGGCUCAACCGUAGUAAGCCUUUGAAACUGGGAAACUUGAGUGCAGGAGAGGAGAGUGGAAUUCCUAGUGUAGCGGUGAAAUGCGUAGAUAUUAGGAGGAACACCAGUUGCGAAGGCGGCUCUCUGGACUGUAACUGACACUGAGGCACGAAAGCGUGGGGAGCAAACAGGAUUAGAUACCCUGGUAGUCCACGCCGUAAACGAUGAGUACUAGCUGUCGG
rnacentral:rRNA from 1 species